rnacentral:lncRNA from 1 species
GGAAUGCAAAAAGAAGUGGUAUAGGCUAUGCUCGAUGAUCGGAAGAAGGAGGAUUCUGUGAAACUGAAGGCAUUUGUCAAGGACUGCGACUUGCUGCAAGACAAAAAUGCAACAUGUUUGGUAAAUGGAAGAAGACUGAAAAGGUUCAACAGAGUCAAGAGACUGCUGGAGGACUUUUUCUGCCACAGGCAACUGGGAGUGCUAAUGAUCGGAGAAACUUCAUAAAUGUUACUCACUCCUACCCAAUCUCUAGCAAAUGAUAUUCUAGCAAUCUCUAGAAAAAGGGCUCUGCUGACAGCUUGCAGGGCUAGUUGGACUGGAGAAGCUGAUUCCCAUCUCUUCAGAAAGAUCAGUCUGGAUUUUUUUCCUGGGGAUGCAUAAGUUAUCCCUCAUCUGCAUAACAAGAAGGCUCAAACGGACACUUCAGAAUUCCCAGGGGCGUCGCAUUUACAGCAGCGUGGAAGGAUGAAUGGUACACUGGAAAUGUAUUUGUUUUAUAAUGUUUGGAAAAUAAUGAUAGGAUUGGCCUGAACUCAUUAAAAUAUCUAGAGUAGCUUAGAAAGUACAAAGAUGCCAGUGCACAAAGUAGCACCAAGAAAAC